ACAGCACAUCGGCCUCAAGCUCUCCAAAAACAUUGUUGGAGUCGGACAUUAUAUCUGAGGAUACAAUAUCAACGUCAUUCACAUCAUAUGGCAAUUUAAGAAGACGUCGAGGGCAAAAAACGAUAACGAGUAUACUCAAAUAAUUGAACGUGCGCUAGAGACUCUCACAUCAUCAACUAAAGCUGAUGGUUGGGAUGAGUUAGGCAACUUUGUGUCGUUAAAUGGAAGAGAGUGGACCCAAGAAUCUACAUAAUUAUGAGCUCAAGCGGGGCAUAUGUGAAUUGAUAUUUAACUACUAAAAGAAAUUGCCAAGCUCCACAUCUAGCCGUUCAAAUUCGCAAAACUUGUUUGCUAUGCUAGUCAAAUGAAAUGUUCCUUAUCUUUUUUUAAAUUUUUUUCAACGUGAGAAAGCAAAUUUUUAAAAACCAAUAUUCAUUGGUAAAUUGAAUAUGUAUGUAUGUAUGUAGGUACCACAGUUUGAAUAUUGAAUAAAACUGAGUGAUGGAAACUUUUUUCAUUUAAUGUA